GGUUUGUAGCUCAGUGGUAGAGAGCAUGCUUAAUGUGUGUGACCCCCUGGGUUCAAUCCCCAGCACCA
rnacentral:tRNA from 1 species